GACGAACGCUGGCGGCGUGCUUAACACAUGCAAGUCGAACGGAAAGGCCCUUCGGGGUACUCGAGUGGCGAACGGGUGAGUAACACGUGGGUGAUCUGCCCUGCACUUUGGGAUAAGCCUGGGAAACUGGGUCUAAUACCGAAUAUGAUCAUCGGCGUCAUGGUCGGUGGUGGAAAGCUUUUGCGGUGUGGGAUGGGCCCGCGGCCUAUCAGCUUGUUGGUGGGGUAAUGGCCUACCAAGGCGACGACGGGUAGCCGGCCUGAGAGGGUGACCGGCCACACUGGGACUGAGAUACGACCGAGACUCCUGCGGGAGGCAGCAGUGGGGAAUAUUGCACAAUGGGCGCAAGCCUGAUGCAGCGACGCCGCGUGAGGGAUGACGGCCUUCGGGUUGUAAACCUCUUUCAGCACAGACGAAGCGCGAGUGAGGGUAUGUGCAGAAGAAGGACCGGCCAGGUACGUG
rnacentral:rRNA from 1 species